rnacentral:rRNA from 1 species
UACGUAGGUGGCAAGCGUUGUCCGGAUUUAUUGGGCGUAAAGCGAGUGCAGGCGGUUCGAUAAGUCUGAUGUGAAAGCCUUCGGCUCAACCGGAGAAUUGCAUCAGAAACUGUCGAGCUUGAGUACAGAAGAGGAGAGUGGAACUCCAUGUGUAGCGGUGAAAUGCGUAGAUAUAUGGAAGAACACCGGUGGCGAAGGCGGCUCUCUGGUCUGUUACUGACGCUGAGGCUCGAAAGCAUGGGUAGCGAACAGGAUUAGAAACCCCAGUAGUCC